GUUCAAAUUGAUCACAUGACCAAAACCAGGCAUGAAUGAUGAUGAACCUGUGAAUAUGAAUGUGCAAGAUUUUUUAUUUGUUAACUGUAUAUUAUUAGCUUUAUAUACGUGUAUUUUACAGUUCUUUAUGAAAGUUUGAUCCACUUUUUUAUGAAUGUACUUUUGAAUAGCAGGUGAUUGGGCUGUAGUUUUUCACCUUGCAGCAAGAGCCCCUUUCUAAUGUUAUAUGCAUGCGUGUGUUCCUUUUGUAAAAUAAUCAUUGUACAUGAAGUCAUACACAUUAUUUUUUGGUGACACUCAGUGUGUUUCUGCCAUGUUGUGUAAUAAGUCUCUUGUUUCCUCACAUAUAAUGCUCAUUUAUAAUAACCUCUGUGAUGUUGCACUGCUGAAGAUCAAAUUUGUCAAAUUAUACAUUGGAGUCAAGUUGUGUGGUCUUUUCUAUUUCAUUUUCAACAUCUUUAACAAAAUCGAAUGUCGCGAAUUAUCGGAACAAAAUUUCUAUUUUAGUGUAAUUUAAUCUCUGUUCUAAAUCCACCCCACCCCCCCCCCCCCCCCUUGAAAAAAAAAUCUGGAUAUUAGAACUAAAGGCUGGUCUGGGAGCUAUAAGAUAUUUACCUCCACCCCUUUUUCUGAAACAUGGGCAGACUUUAUGCAAAAACCAAGAAAAUUAGAUUUUUUAAUCUUUUACUGGUGAUAAGGUAUGGUUUGAUAAAGGAGUAAGUGGCAAGUUAAUAUAGGGCAUAAUACAUUAAGGUUUGGUUUCCAUGGAUACAUUGACCAGCGUCAAUUGAUCUGAUAUACCUAUAUAUUGCAUCGUAAUAUAAUGAUUUCUAUUGAUUCACAUCCUUUGCUUUAUUUUAUUUACCAUCAACCAAAAUGAAUUAGAUAUAAAUCAUUUCUUUUCACACUGCAGCAUAUACAAUUUUUUUAAAUAUUGCCUGUCACAAUAUUAGCUUUUAUAUGGUUACUUAUAUAUGUUUCCAAUGUAUACAAAGAGGAUAUUAGAAGUUGUAGAUGUUCAUGUAUGUUUCAUAUGGUGCUAUAAUUGUAGAAAAUACAAAACUUGCAAAUCCUGAUAUUUCUUUCUACCAAGCAACCAUGUAUAUAGAAAAGCAUUUACUGAGCCCAAUGUACAAGGUUGUCAAAAACGUUACUCGAGAGGUUGAAUGCAAAUUAUUUUUGAUUUUUAUACUAUUGGGGUAAUAAUCGGUACAGUUAUAGGUAAAAUAUCAUUUCUCUUUGACUUCACAAACGUCUGAGAUUUCAUAUAAGUAUUAGUGCACCAGCAAUUAGAAUUCUGAUGGAAAACUCCUUCCGCCACCAACUCCACCUAGUGGUUUUAUCAAUCCAUCAAUUUUUCUAUUUCAUAAACGAAUGAUUGUACAAUUUUGUUCUGCAAACGAUGAUGUCCAUCUUGUAUACUACUGAAGCUUAGUUGAAAUCAACAGACAUGGUAAUUUUACCCCACAGUAGGAAAACCCCGGUACUUACAGAAUUUGUGUAACCCCCCCCUUUUCUAUAGUAAUAUGAUGCAAUGUCAUGUAUUUAGUUUACUUAUCUCAUCGUUUAAAGAAAGAUUUGUUCAAAUGAGAAUUUUACCUCAAAAUAAAUUCACAUUUUUCUACAAGUGUUUACUUUUUAUUGUCAUCUCAUGUUGAGUCCAUUGGAUAUUAUUGGAAAAAGUUUGAAAACAAUUAAAGCUUUUGUUUAGAUUGAAUUACCGGUAAGCAGUUUCUAAUUGCUAAAAAUAAAUAUUCUUUAUAC
rnacentral:misc_RNA from 1 species